rnacentral:rRNA from 1 species
GACGAACGCUGGCGGCGUGCUUAACACAUGCAAGUCGAACGGAAAGGCCCCAGCUUGCUGGUGUACUCGAGUGGCGAACGGGUGAGUAACACGUGGGUAAUCUGCCCUGCACUCUGGGAUAAGCCUGGGAAACUGGGUCUAAUACCGGAUAUGACCUUUCUCCUUAUGGGGUUUGGUGGAAAGUUUUUCGGUGUAGGAUGAGCCCGCGGCCUAUCAGCUUGUUGGUGGGGUGAUGGCCUACCAAGGCGACGACGGGUAGCCGGCCUGAGAGGGUGAUCGGCCACAUUGGGACUGAGAUACGGCCCAGACUCCUACGGGAGGCAGCAGUGGGGAAUAUUGCACAAUGGGCGGAAGCCUGAUGCAGCGACGCCGCGUGAGGGAUGACGGCCUUCGGGUUGUAAACCUCUUUCAGCAGGGACGAAGCGUAAGUGACGGUACCUGCAGAAGAAGCACCGGCUAACUAUGUG